CCUACGGGUUGCACCAGUGGGGAAUAUUGCACAAUGGGCGCAUGCCUGAUGCAGCCAUGCCGCGUGUGUGAAGAAGGCCUUCGGGUUGUAAAGCACUUUCAGCGAGGAGGAAGGCGGUGAGGUUAAUAACCUCAUCGAUUGACGUUACCCGCAGAAGAAGCACCGGCUAAGUCCGUGCCAGCAGCCGCGGUAAUACGGAGGGUGCAAGCGUUAAUCGGAAUUACUGGGCGUAAAGCGCACGCAGGCGGUCUGUCAAGUCGGAUGUGAAAUCCCCGGGCUCAACCUGGGAACUGCAUUCGAAACUGGCAGGCUAGAGUCCUGUAGAGGGGGGUAGAAUUCCAGGUGCAGCGGUGAAAUGCGUAGAGAUCUGGAGGAAUACCGGUGGCGAAGGCGGCCCCCUGGACGAAGACUGACGCUCAGGUGCGAAAGCGUGGGGAGCAAACAGGAUUAGAUACCCGCGUAGUC
rnacentral:rRNA from 1 species